rnacentral:rRNA from 1 species
ACGGGAGGCAGCAGUGGGGAAUAUUGGGCAAUGGGCGCAAGCCUGACCCAGCAACGCCGCGUGAAGGAAGAAGGCCUUCGGGUUGUAAACUUCUUUUAUGAGGGACGAAGGAAGUGACGGUACCUCAUGAAUAAGCCGCGGCUAACUACGUGCCAGCAGCCGCGGUAAUACGUAGGUGGCAAGCGGUGUCCGGAUUUACUGGGUGUAAAGGGCGCGUAGGCGGGUGUGCAAGUCAGAUGUGAAAUCCCCGGGCUUAACCCGGGAACUGCAUUUGAAACUGCAUAUCUUGAGUAUCGGAGAGGCAAGCGGAAUUCCUAGUGUAGCGGUGAAAUGCGUAGAUAUUAGGAGGAACACCAGUGGCGAAGGCGGCUUGCUGGACGACAACUGACGCUGAGGCGCGAAAGCGUGGGGAGCAAACAGGAUUAGAUACCCUGGUA